UGGAAGACUCGAAAUUGCAUUUCCUGAGU
rnacentral:piRNA from 1 species